CGGCGGACGGGUGAGUAAUGCCUAGGAAUCUGCCUGGUAGUGGGGGACAACGUUUCGAAAGGAACGCUAAUACCGCAUACGUCCUACGGGAGAAAGAAGGGGACCUUCGGGCCUUGCGCUAUCAGAUGAGCCUAGGUCGGAUUAGCUAGUUGGUGAGGUAAUGGCUCACCAAGGCGACGAUCCGUAACUGGUCUGAGAGGAUGAUCAGUCACACUGGAACUGAGACACGGUCCAGACUCCUACGGGAGGCAGCAGCC
rnacentral:rRNA from 1 species